CAGGUGCCUGAGGAAGUUGAUCUCGUUAUUCAGCCCUUCCAGGCGAGACUCCUCCAGCUCUACCUUGUUCAUUCCUCCACCAGCCCUGGUGUGUUACCAAACUCGGCCUCCAGCUUCAGCUUUUCCUGGCCCAGCGUGUCCAGCUGCUGCCGAAGGUUGACGUCGCUCUUGAACAUGCAGUCCACAUUCAUCCAAACUGUCUUCUGCUGCUGCAGGAGGCUCCAGUUGGUCUCCAGUACCUUGUUCUGCUGCUCCAGGAACCAUACCUUGUUGAUAAAGGAGGCAAACUUGUUGCUGAUGGUCUUGAUCUGCUCCUUCUCCUGGGUGCACGUGGCCUGGAUGUUGGGGUCCACCUCCAGCUUAAGGGGGUACAGCAGGCUCUAGUUGACUGUGAUGGCUGUGAUGCCCUCCAUACCACUGGUCCCGCCAUAGCCUCCACCCAGACCCAUACUGGUGCCCACCACCUUGGAAGCUGCUGCUGCUGCCCACUCGAGAGAAGCUCAAGGAGCUGAUGCUGGCACCAAACCAACUUGUGUAGGAGUGGCUGCUGAAGGCCCAGGGGCCAGAGGUACAUACCUUGUAGGACUUAUGGGUCACCCUCAUGGACAUGGUGGAAGCAGGAGGGCUGAACCAGGUGGAGAUUCAAGAUGGUGCAGAUGCUUCUAGGUGCUUUUUUUUUUUGAAAUAGGGUCUUGCUCUGUCACCUGGGCUGGAGUGCAGUGGUGCCAUCAUGGCUCACUACAGCCUCAACCUCCUGGGCUUAAGCAAUCCUCCCAUGUUGGCCUCCCAAAAUGCUGGGAUUACAGGUGUGAACCAUCACACUCAGACUUCUCUAUCUUUUUUACCUUUGUAAAGGCUAACCAGUGGUUUUAUUAAUUUGUCAACAAUCAUCAAGUAACUAGUAUUCCCACAGAUUGGGCUAGGAUUUAUAGAGCGCACAAACAUAGGCGACAGAUUCCCUGGUCUCCAGUUUGAUAGAAGAGCUUUCUAGAGUGUCUCUAAUAGAUUCUGAAGUAAUUAUGGCAACUUGGACCAAAUGAAGAAUGAUUUAGUUGUUGGGAGCCCCAUCUUCUCAAACUUCUUUAUUUAGCAUUAAGAUCUUUGCUUUUAAGGUAUGUAUAUCUAAACAGCCCCCAUUCAGGUGAUUUUUUGCAAAACAAAGGAACAGUGCACUCCAGAGGUGUGCCAAGGAAUCCACCACCUCCAGCCACACUGAAAACUGCCCUAAGCUUUGAGUUGGAGGCUUCUGCCUUACAAAGGUCUCCUUGCCUCCUUGUGACAGUUUGCUUCCCUGUCAAUUUAUCCACCAUUAAAAUAGCCUGUGAGACUUAAAAUCAAUUAACAAUAAAACAAAGACAUGAUGCUAUUUUGUAAA